UGAGAGGGAAACCUCCAGGAUCCUAGAGCGGACGACUUGGUAUCUGGGGCAGGGUUCUGCGGCAGUUGACCUCUGGAGGCCACUGCAGGCAUCAGAGUCCCCUUGGUUCGUCAAACCACGGUUUUCCGGGAAUCAAGGCCAAAGGUAUGAACAAGGUGUUAAUUCUGAAGGGAAGAUUUUUGUAAGGAUGGAUCCACACCAGAAGGUCCCCAGCACAUAUAAUGGGGAUACUUUACAGAUUCCUGAGAAUGAAAAAGCUUCUUUUAACUGGUAUGAGGACCAGUUAGAAAGUCAUGAGGCGAGGUCUGCAGAAGAAAGACAGUAUACAUGCAGUGAAUGUGGAAAGAAGUUUGCUCAGAGCUCAGGCCUUGUUCGACAUCAGAGAAUCCACACUGGAGAGAAACCCUAUGAGUGUGAUCACUGUGGAAAAGCCUUCAGUGUACGCUCAACUCUCACUGUGCAUGAAAGAAUCCACACUGGUGAGAAACCCUAUACUUGUAAUGAGUGUAGGAAAGCUUUCAGUGUGAGGGCACACCUGAUUAUACAUCAGAGAAUCCACAAUGGAGAGAAACCCUAUGAAUGUAAUGAAUGUGGCAAAGCAUUUAGUGUGAGCUCAGACCUCAUCAAACAUCAGAGAAUCCACUCUGGUGAGAAACCUUAUGAGUGUGACGAGUGUGGGAAGGCCUUCAGUGUGAGUUCAGCCCUUAUCAAACAUCAGAGAAUCCACACAGGAGAGAAGCCAUAUGAGUGUAAGGAGUGUGGGAAGGCCUUCUAUGUGAACUCAGCCCUUAUUAAUCAUCAGAGGAUUCAUUCUGGAGAAAAGCCCUAUAAGUGUGGAGAAUGCAGAAAAGCAUUCAGCCAAAUCUCAACGCUUAUUCAUCACCAGAGAAUCCAUACUGGAGAGAAACCAUACGAGUGUGAUGAGUGUGGGAAAGCAUUCCGUGGGAGCUCUAAUCUUACUAAACACCAGAAAAUACAUGCUAAAGGAAAGUGUGAUCAGUGACUUACAUGGUGAAGAUAUUAUAAAGGCUUUUUUUUUCUUUCAAGUCAGAAGUUGUCACCAGAAGAAGGUUAUGACAAAAAUUAAUGCUUUAGUUGACACUUCAAUUUCUUGGAAUAUCAGAGAAAUGAGAAGUCAAUGAAAAAUGACUUUACCAUUAUAAUGAUCGACUCGGUCUCUAAAAUCAUACCCACUUCUGAGAAUGCAGCUUUACAAAUCAUAAGUGAGACAAUCCCCACACCUGUCCUGAUUCACCUGACCCUUGCCUGCUGCUGUUCCAUGGAUAAGAAUAAAAAGCACUGCAGGAGCCAGCACUUCUUUCUUAUUGGGCCUCUUGCUACUGCUAUUGCAGUAAGUAAGUAAAGGCUUGACUGUGUUUCAUUUUUGCUUGUGUUAUAAUGCAACACAUUCUCACUGCUCUAGGAUCCAGUCCAGAAGAGUAUUUCUGCCUUGACUAUGUUACACUUAUGGCAAAAGAAAAACAGAGGUAGGACCACAUGAUGACUUUUAAAGCAUCUACUCAGGAGGAGCAUAUGUCAUUCCCCUUAGGUUUUGUUAGUUAAAGCAAGUCAGCUAACCAAGCUUUUUUCCCCAUCCAUAUGAUCAAAAAAAAGUAAAGCUUACAGAGAGGACAGUGAAUAAGGAAAGUAAUGUAAUCUAUCAUUGAGAUAGUGUAUCUACCAUAUUGGCCAAUGUUUAUGCAAUGCUUUCUGUGCCUGGGCUUUCUCUGAGUGCCUUAUAUGUGUAUUUUUCUCAAUAAAAAAAUAAUGAUAUGACAUACAUACUACUAUACAGUAAGUCCCCUACAUAUGAACCUUCACGUUGUGAACUUUCAAAGAUUUGAACAUGCACGCACAUGUCCAGUUGAUAGCUUACGGUGAUUGGUGUUGGAUUCGUGAUCUCCGAAAAAGAAAAUUUAGCUUCAGGAUCAGGGACCAGGCUUGAUCACUCAGGGCUCUUGUGUGGCAGAAGUUUUAUUACAGUGAAAAAGGACAGAGACGGCUUCUGACACAGGCAUCAGAAGCAGGCAGAGAGUGCCCCCUUACUAGUCUUAGCAAGGGAGCUAUAUACUUUUUCAGUUGUUAUUACAGUAAAUCAAAAGAAUGUCUCAAGAUUGUAAAGGUCACUCGCACAACUUACAUUUUAAGAUGACAGGAUUAGAACUAACAAUAGAAAGGUCUUACUAGACCCACUCCCACAAUUUAUAUUUUAAGAUUACAGGAUUAGUCAGAAGGUUCUCAAGGAGAAACAUGACUCCUCCUCAAGAGCCCCAGAGCCCUUUCUCCUUGGGGACCCCGGACUUCUUAUCAACCUACCUAAGAAUUGACUUUCUCCCAGUCAUGGAAGUUAGUUCACCUGUCUGAUGUACAUUGUCAUGUGUGCGCAUCGUCUACAAGUGGUUAUGCUUUUGUGAACUUUACUGUAUAGAGUACAGUAGUAUGGUGUCUUUAUUUCAAGCCCAAGAUGUCCAGAAGCAAGCAUAAAAGCAGCAGUGAUGUAACUGUUGCUGUACUGUACUUUUCAAGAUACUGUACUGUAAUAUUAAAAUGUUUUAUUUUUUGUGUUUGUUUUUUAUGUAUUAUUUGUGUGGAAGGUAUUAUAAACCUAUUACAGUUCAGUAUUAUAUAGCCGACUGUUAGUCAGAUACCUAGGUUAACUUUGUUGGACUUAAGAACAAACUGGACUUACAAACACGCUCUUAGAAUGUAACUCAUUUGUAUGUAGGGGACUUAACUGUACUCCCAUUUUACAGCUAAAGAAAUUGAGAAACAGAGACAUUAAGUCAUUUGUCCAAGGUCAUGCAGCUGGAAAUGGUAGAGCAAGGAAUUGAAACCAGAAGUUUAACUUGACAGUCUUUUCUCUUAACUGCUGUGCUACACUAUGAAAGUUUAAUCUGAAGGUUGUUUACGUACUACAGUGAGCCUUAAAAGGUUGGGAAGGUCCCCUGGAGAAGGAAAUGGCAACCCACUCCAGUAUUCUUUCCUGGAAAAUGCCACAGACAGCGAAGCCUGGCAGGCUACAGUCCAUGGGGUUGCACAGAGUCGGACACAACUGAGCACUAACAGACUGUGCUGGUAAAAACUUUAAAGGUGAGAUUUAAGUCUUCUUCAGUCUCAAUCUGUCUUUACCCCUAAGUAACUCUUAGAGGUAAUCCAUUUAAGAUUACUUAGGCUAAUCCACCUGGCUGGGUCUCAGUUUUACAUCCAUAAAAAUAAGGAGAGAGGCCAGGUAUUCUCUGAUAUCCCCUACAGCCUUGAGAUUUUUAUAAUCUCUCCAAAUAGAUUGUAAAAUGCUUUGUUAUAUGAUGACUUCUUUUUUAAUCUACUACUUUAUGUAUUGUUAUGUUCACAAGAGCUCUUGAAUAAAUGAGUCUCUGCACCAGUUCCUCCUUUCUGCUUUACAUUAGUGAUAAUACUAAUAAUGAGUAGUUUGCAGUUAUCUGAUCUGUUCCAGGUACUUUUUCAGGCUCCUUAGGGUAAAUUAUUUCACUUAAAAGUUUAGAUGCUAUAUUUAGAAUAAAAGCAAAGCUGAAAAAAAGAAAAUUGCUCUAAACAUCCCUUUUGAAAUCUUAGAGCACAGUAAAAUAAACCCAAGAAACAGAAGGAAGAAAAUACUGAAAAGCUGCAAUUAAAGGAAAAGCAAGUGUAUUUUCUUACUUAGAACUUAAGCACAGGAAGAGUUUUGUUUUUUGUAACUUCUCUCUUUAGGCUACUCUCAUAUAUGUCACAUUUGACUCCCUUUUUCUGCCUCUGGGGAAAAGGUGCUAAUAUCAUGAUCAACCUCUUCUUUCAGAUGGUAACUCCUGACCUUAAACAAGGAGUCUGUUUCAAAGCAGAAUUUUCCAGAAGUCUAACACACAAGGAGAUGUUCAGAAGAUCAAAUGGGAACAUCAUCAGGGGCUCCACACUGGACAAGUUCAUAGGCUUCUGAAUAAUUUACCCAAGUGAGGGAGGAGCCCCUUUGUGGAUACACAAUUUACUUUGCCUCAAACAAGGGAGAAUAGCACUCAGAUAAAAAGGCCUAAGAACACCUGGGAGAAUUUACCCUGAAGUUCAGUCCUUUGUGACUCAGCUGGUAAAGAAUCUGCCCACAAUGCAGGAAACGGGUUCAAUCCCUGGGUUGGGACAGUCCCCUGGAGAAGGGAAAGGCUACUGACUCCAGUAUUCUGGCCUAGAGAAUUCCACGGACUCUGUAGUCAAUGGGGUCACAAAGAGUCAGACACAACUGAGUGACUUUUGCUUCACUCAGUCUUGUCAAUGCUCUGGGUGUGGGAAAUUCUCCAUUCAGCUUGUAUGGAGUUUCCAACUUCAACUGUAAUAAAAGUAGCAGCCACUCAUUGUAAAGGGAGUGGAAGUCAGUCAUUCAAAAAUAGCCCCUCCCUAAUAAAAUGAACCCUGGCACCCCAGCAGCCCUGACCAAGCACCAGCAUGUCCAAAGUUAAAGAAAGCCCUAUAGAUCCUCAACUUGGAAUGACCUUCGUGUAAUCCAAGUCUCAUUAAACAACAGAGAAGCCAUCCUGAGAAGAGUCUCAUGAGAGUAAAGAAUGUGGCAAAACCUUCAGACACUGGAAUGAUCUUGUCAGACAACAGAGAACCUUUGGGGAUAUCUUCAGUGUCAGAAGCCUUCUGUAUGAGCUUAAAUCUCAUUAAACAUAAGCAAAUUCAUUUUGGACAGGAGCCUUAUUUGUGUCAUGAGUGUGGCAAAGCCUUUAAGUUCUGUGAUAGCCUUGCUAAACAUCAGAGAAUCCACAUUGAAGAGAAAACUUAGCGGUAAUAAAGAGUAUAUGGAUUCACUGUGUUUCAAGUCUGGUCAAUCACCAAAGAACCCACAGUGGAGAACACCAUUAUGAAUAUAGUGAGUGGGGUAAUGCCUUCAUUUGGAAGCCAGCAUUUAUUACCAGAAAACUUAUAAAUAUUAAAAUGUGAGAAGACCGUCACUUAAAAACUCAAUCUUAUACGCUGGAAAAUCCAUACUGGAACGAAACCCUAUGUAUAUCAUACAUACAUUCUUUUGUAUGGAUAUGUAUAGAACUGAAUCACUGUAAUGUACACCUAAAACUAAACAUGGCAUUGUAAAUCAACUGUAAUAAAAUAUAUUUUUUUA